UACGUAGGGCGCAAGCGUUAUCCGGAAUUAUUGGGCGUAAAGAGCUCGUAGGCGGUUUGUCGCGUCUGCUGUGAAAGACCGGGGCUCAACUCCGGUUCCGCAGUGGGUACGGGCAGACUAGAGUGCAGUAGGGGAGACUGGAAUUCCUGGUGUAGCGGUGAAAUGCGCAGAUAUCAGGAGGAACACCGAUGGCGAAGGCAGGUCUCUGGGCUGUAACUGACGCUGAGGAGCGAAAGCAUGGGGAGCGAACAGG
rnacentral:rRNA from 1 species